GUUUUAUUUUCUAUAAAUCAAACCAAAUAAACAUUCGCGCCGACGGAGAUGCUGUUUAGCAUCUCAUGUCAAAUAAACAUGCGCGCCGACGGAGAUGCUGUUUAGUAUCUCAUGUCAGUCUUCGUUGACUUUCAUUCGUCUGCUGUUCGGGUUCUCUGUGUUUAACUGUCAUCUGGUAAAGAGGUUAUGGGCCCAGGAUAUUCACGUGUUAUUUAAGUAUAUUCAUUCAUCAUGGCCGAAAGUCCCGAUAGACGACGUGACUAUGUCAAAUUCAAUGGAAUCAACUUUCCCCAAUGGAAAUUUGCUGUCAUGCUUAAGCUGAAGAAGAAAAAGCUUGACGGAAUAGUGCUUGGGACUGAAACAAGACCAGUUGAGGUGCCUGAAGAGAUAGAUGGAGUAAAUGUGGUGACUAAUCAGAAUGCAAUUGACUCAUGGAAC